CGGGCAUCAGAGCGGUGGGUAGAAGUGAGCAAGCCAGAGGGGUCAAGGAAACCGGGAAGACCUGCGGAGUCAACCGACUUGGGCCUGUGGGGGUGCACAGAGACUGAGACACUAACCUAGGCUCCCUACACAUUUGUAGCAGAUGUGCAGCUUGAUCUUCAUGUGGGUCCCCUAACAUUUGGAGCAGGGACUGUCUCUGACUCUGUUUGCCUGCCAUUGGAUCCCCUUCCCCUAGCUGGACAGUCUGGUCAAGCCUCAGUGGGAGAGGAUGCACGUAGGCUUACUACAACUGGAUGUCCUAGGGUGGGGAAGGGGGCUUCCCCUUCUCUGAGUGGAUGCUCCAACACUGCACAGGAAGCUAAAAAAGAAAGGUCAGUCCCUGGCACUUACAAGCAUGGUGUUUUCUAGUUGUUCUCAAGCAGAAGAGAUGGAGGACCAGAAAGAAUAGAACAGUGCCCGUUUCAUGGGGACCGAACACACUGAGAGAACCUUACCACAGUUAAGUCUCUCUGCCCACAAGGGACCUAUGGGAUCCACCAUCACACCGGGAGAUCAAGGCACAGCAAAGACACAUAUCUGGGACUCACAACUCAGAUCCUUCUAUUCCUUGUAACUGCUCCAUUAAAGGCACAGAAAAGAAAACGGUGCCAUUUUACUGAUGGAUUCAGUGCAACAGAUGGACCAUCCACCUGACCAAACUGCAGAAUCGAAGUAUCCAUGCACGGAGAUAUCAUCUUCACAGAAAAUUAAAAAUCCCACAUUUAAAUCUCCAUAUAGUCACAGACUCUAUUAUAUGACUGCAAGCAGUUCCUUCCUGUCUGAGCCUCAGUUUCUCUAUUACAAUGGAGAGAGUUAAACUAAACAGAUUUUCCCCAAAGGAUGCCACAUGCUUUUCGGUCCUCCCAUUCAGAGCUGACAUUCUAUGAUCCUUCCCCCA
rnacentral:lncRNA from 1 species